rnacentral:rRNA from 1 species
GCAGCAACCUAGCCCAACCAAUAAACAAAAAUACAAUAAACAAAAUUAUACUACCAAAACCAACCAAAACAUUUUCACUAUCUUAGUAUAGGCGAUAGAAAAGACAGUUGGAGCAAUAAAAACAGUACCGCAAGGGAAAGAUGAAAAACAAUGAAAUACUCACUAAGCCCUAAAAAGCAAAGAUUAACCCUUGUACCUUUUGCAUCAUGAUUUAGCCAGCACACCCGAGCAAAGAGACCUGAAGUCCGAAGCCCCGAAACCAAAUGAGCUACUUAAAGGCAGCCCAAUAGGGCCCAAUCCGUCUCUGUGGCAAAAGAGUGGAGAGACCUAUAAGUAGAGGUGAAAAGCCUAUCGAAUUUGGUGAUAGCUGGUUGCUCAACAAAAGAAUAUAAGUUCAACCUUAAAUCUUCUGCAAAACAACCCAAAGUUAAAAGAAAAAUUUAAGAUUUAUUCAAUUGGGGUACAGCCCAAUUGAAAAAGGACACAACCUAAAAUGGAGGACAAACACCAAAAUAUCCAUCGCCGUAGGCCUUAAAGCAGCCACCACCAAAGAAAGCGUCAAAGCUCCCCCAAAUUAUCAAAUAAUAACAUUAAAAACUUUUCCCCAGACAAUAUUGAGCCAUUCUACUACAAUAGAAGAAUUAAUGCUAAAAUGAGUAACAAGAAGACAAAACUUCUCUAACGCACCAGCUUAAAUCAUUACAGAUAAACUACUGAUUAUUAACAGCCACAUUAUAAAACCAAUAAUACUUAAAACACCUUAUAAACCAAACUGUUAACCCAACACAGGAGCGCGUAUGAGAAAGAUUAAAAUUUGUAAAAGGAACUAGGCAAACCUAAACGAGCCCGACUGUUUACCAAAAACAUAGCCCCCAGCAAAACACAAGUAUUAGGGGUAAUGCCUGCCCAGUGACACUGUUAAACGGCCGCGGUAUCCUAACCGUGCAAAGGUAGCGUAAUCACUUGUCUCUUAAAUAGAGACUAGAAUGAACGGCCAAACGAGGCUCUACCUGUCUCUUACAAAUAAUCAGUGAAAUUGAUCUUCCCGUGCAAAAGCAGGAAUGACAUUAUAAGACGAGAAGACCCUGUGGAACUUCAAAUACAAAUCAACUAUUACCAACAUCCGCCUAAUUAGGCCUAUACCAAAACAUAGCACCUGAUUCUUAUUUUCGGUUGGGGCGACCCCGGAGCAUAAUAAAACCUCCGGAAAAAGAACUUCUCUUUCAAACCUAGACUUACGAUCCAAAGUGCCUUCGGCAAAAUGAUCCAAUAUAUUUGAUCAACGAACCAAGCUACCCCAGGGAUAACAGCGCAAUCCCAUCCAAGAGUCCCUAUCGACGAUGGGGUUUACGACCUCGAUGUUGGAUCAGGACAUCCUGAUGGUGCAACCGCUAUCAAGGGUUCGUUUGUUCAACGAUUAACAGUCCUACGUGAUCUGAGUUCAGACCGGAGUAAUCCAGGUCGGUUUCUAUCUAUAAACUUAAGCCUUUUCCAGUACGAAAGGACCGAAAAGGCGGGGCCUAUAUUAAAAACAAGCCCUACCUUAUAUUAGUGAAAACAUCUCAACUAAGAAUAAGACAAUAUUAACCCAGGCCCAAAAAAAGGGCCUA